GUAAAAAGAAUUACGAAAUUAAAUUGGUAGACAAAACAAAAACCGAGACCUUUGUCACUAAUUUAAAAGUAGAAGUGGCAGAUGAAGUUAGUGUUUUUCAUCUGCUUCAUGAAGCCCAAAAACGAAGAACUGUGGCAGAAACCAAAAUGAAUGAGCGGUCAUCUCGCUCACAUUACGUUUUCGCUCUUAAACUCUCCACAACAAAUAGCAAAACUUUUGAAUCUUGUGAAGAUAAGAGUUCUUUAAUUAA